CCCUUAGAUGUACUGGGCCGCACGCGUGCUACACUGAGUGGAUCAGCGGGUCAGGUUGCGCGAAAGCGUUUCCUAAUCUUUAAAUCCGCUCGUGAUGGGGAUUGACGGUUGCAAUUUUCUGUCAUGAACGAGGAAUACCUUGUAAGCGCGGGUCAUCAUCCCGCGCUGAAUACGUCCCUGCCCUUUGUACACACCGCCCGUCGCUCCUACCGAUUGAGUGGUCCGGUGAGGCUUUGGGAUCUGAGCGGAAAGAGCGUUUCGCUGUUUCUGCUCGGAAAACUCAGUCGAACCUUAUCAUUUAGAGGAAGGAGAAGUCGUAACA
rnacentral:rRNA from 1 species